GUGAUCUCUAAUUUUCUCCGGCUGUGAGGAAGUCACACAGAGUUGUGUUGUUGCACUCUCCUCCCAUCCCUCCCGUUUGGCUUGCUCCUCCUCCUCCUCCUCCUUCGGUUCGGAACAGGCAGAAAGAGUACGUGAGGACACACUGAGCCGCAUGCUGUUCUUGUUUGCGUUUCCCAGAUCGCCCUGCUGCUCGGCCUCCCCUCAUCACCUCAUCCGCGCUGUCAGAUCGUACAGUUAUCUCUCAGACAUCCCACACGGCCACAGUCACACACACACAGGCGAGGCAGUUAUGUUACAUUUUCCACAGUGUAGCUGCUGCUCUGCGGUGUAUCAAAGAGCUCCACAUUGGGCUUUAAGUCGAUGUACUUGUUCCGUUUAAAGUUAAACUGUUGCCCCGAGGGACCUGAGUGAUUUGCAUGAGGACUUGAACGCAGCUGAAGAGGUCAGCCCAGCACGGGGAAAUUAACAGGUCGGUUAAUGAAAUGUUGAUUACUGCAUUUUUAUCUCAAAGAAAAUGAGAUGAAAUGAGAGGGAGAGAGAGAGAGAGAGAGAGAUGUGUGGCCAUCACAAGAGUGAAACCUUUUCAUCAGAGAUUUAUCAAUCACAUCACAAGACGCACUGAAGCGCCAAAGAUGCGCUGAACAGCAGCUGGAAACUGAAAUCCCUCUGAGACGAUCUUGUGAUCUGGUCCGACAACAGGAUCCUCCUCUGCAACAAUGCUGCCCCCUUGUGCAUCUGCUCUGAACCACCACCGCUUUCACGUUUCUAAAGGUCGCUGUUGGGCAACGGACAGAGGAGAAGAAUACAACUGGCACACUCGUGAACUUCAUGAAUAUUUUAAAACUUUAAUAUACAGUGCUUCAUAAAUCAUUACUAAAAACACAGGUGGUAAAAAUCAAAUCAAAAACAAAUAAGUUACACUGUAGUAAAAAGCACUUGAGAUUCCGUUCUGUUUCGUCAUUAGUGUGAACCCCAUAUGAAAAUAGCAUAGAAAGUAUGCAAACAUAGAAUUUCAUUCAUAUAUAUUUUCUAAUCUUUAGCUAAAUAAACCUUUUGCCCCCUUUAAAAUUCCCUUAGCCAACUGGAUGAGAUGAGGAGAAUUUACAGCUGCGUGUUUGCCGUGGCCUCGAUUUCAUCUGAUUCUUCUUCUUUUAAAAACAGCUUGAAAACCUUUACGUGGACGACAACUUUGCCCUCCAACCUCGUGAGAACCUCAGGACAAGCUCAAAUAAAAAGGAAAUAUAAAUUAACAUACCAAACGUGAACAGUCUGCAAAAACUUGUUUUUUUCCCUCCCAUUGACUGGCGUACAGUUUAACAUUAGACUUCAAAGCACUCUCACACACACUUUUAACAGUAUGUCUGCGCGCACACACACACACACACACACACACACGCAUACAAACAGUCUGUGCAUAGACCCAGGAUUAUCUUGUGGAGUAACUGGUAAUUGGAGCCGUUUCUUUCCCGCUCCCCCCAACUCCCCACUGUGGUUUGUCCUUUAAAGGAAAAUAACCCUUUAACCCAUUUGUUGCAAAGGCAACAGAAGCUGGCUCAGGGCCGAAGGGCUUAGCAGAGAGAUAUGUAGAGAUAAACAUGCUGUUUCCACAGCCCAACUCAGUGCCUGCUACAAGCAACAAGGUA